UAGGAAUUUUGCGCAAUGGGGGAAACCCUGACGCAGCAACGCCGCGUGAGUGAUGAAGGCCUUCGGGUUGUAAAGCUCUUUUGACGGGAACGAAAAAAAUGACGGUACCCGUUGAAUAAGCACCGGCUAACUCCGUGCCAGCAGCCGCGGUAAUACGGAGGGUGCAAGCGUUAUUCGGAUUUACUGGGCGUAAAGCGCGUGUAGGCGGUUUGGUAAGUUUGGUGUGAAAUCCCCGGACUUAAUUCGGGAAGUGCAUUGAAUACUGCCAGACUGGAGUACAGGAGAGGAGAGUGGAAUUCCUGGUGUAGAGGUGAAAUUCGUAGAUAUCAGGAGGAACAACAGAAGCGAAGGCGACUCUCUGGACUGUCACUGACGCUAAGGCGCGAAAGCGUGGGGAGCAAAC
rnacentral:rRNA from 1 species